GAUGAACGCUGGCGGCGUGCCUAAUACAUGCAAGUCGAGCGAACGGACGAGAAGCUUGCUUUUCUGAUGUUAGCGGCGGACGGGUGAGUAACACGUGGAUAACCUACCUAUAAGACUGGGAUAACUUCGGGAAACCGGAGCUAAUACCGGAUAAUAUUUUGAACCGCAUGGUUCAAAAGUGAAAGACGGUCUUGCUGUCACUUAUAGAUGGAUCCGCGCUGCAUUAGCUAGUUGGUAAGGUAACGGCUUACCAAGGCAACGAUGCAUAGCCGACCUGAGAGGGUGAUCGGCCACACUGGAACUGAGACACGGUCCAGACUCCUACGGGAGGCAGCAGUAGGGAAUCUUCCGCAAUGGGCGAAAGCCUGACGGAGCAACGCCGCGUGAGUGAUGAAGGUCUUCGGAUCGUAAAACGCUGUUAUUAGGGAAGAACAUAUGUGUAAGUAACUGUGCACAUCUGGACGGUACCUAAUCAGAAAGCCACGGCGAACUACGU
rnacentral:rRNA from 1 species